AACCGACGGUCCCGGGACCGUCAUCCCCAGAAAUGGGGCAGGCGGGUAGGAUGGCUGGGAGUGGAAGUCCUUCUCUUCCCUAAUUUCCACCAUGGCCGCCCGACCGAGGCUUCUCCACCUGAGCUCCUCCUUCUUCUUCUUCACCUGAAAGCGUGGCGCCCGCUCCAUUUUCUUCCCUUCCCUGCUCCUCCCCUCUUCUCCUUCCCGCCGCCGCCUCCUCUUCUCCUUCCCCAUCGCACCAUCCCUCGCCCCCGGACACCCUCUUCCAGGGCCCCGAUUCCGUUCCUCCCCCUCCGCGGCGUCCAUCACCGUCGACGGUCCCCCCGUAAGCUUCGACGAUUCUUCUUCCGCUUCCUCCCACCACUGGCCCGAAUGGGAGCGGUUCCUCGGCAAGUUGAGGGGAAAAGGUUACUUCGAGGUGUCCACUUCGGCGGCUCCCUCAGGAGAUGUGGAGGAUGAGGGCUCGAGUGUCUCGGCGGGGCACGGUGGCUCGUCCGUGGAGGUGAACCAUGUCAAGAACGCAUGCCUCAAGUUUGCUCGCGGGCGGUUCAACAUCUUCAGAUAUUCGGGCUGCUGUGGAGUGUGGAUGCCGUAAUGUGUUCCGCAAAGCUGUCGAUUCAGCAAAAAGAUUGAGAGCAUUUCUCCAGGUUGAUGAACGAGACGUCUGUAGUACCUGCAACCUAAGAGAAUCUUGCGGCAAAGCAUACAUAACACCAUAUGAUGAUCGAGGCCAUACCUUGGAUGCAGUUCGUAUUUUAUUGAGCUAUGCAGUAAAUCCAAAGCAUCUUUGUGGAGAGGAAAUUUCUUGUAUCAAAGAACAUGUUCAAAAGUCUGCUAGACAUCUAUUAUUGGAGCUUGUUUAGCUUAGUGAUACAGCCAUUGAUCCGUCUGUUCCGAAAUCUGCAGUGAAGCCUUCUAUUCCAAAAGAACGAUCUCAAAAGGCUACUGGUAAGGGCGACAGGGCAGCUAAUGUGGAGAUGAAGAGAGGUGAUUGGUUGUGUCCAAAUUGCAACUUUCUCAAUUUCACCUGAAAUCUUUGCUGUCUAGAGUGCAAUGAAGAUGGGACCAAAGAGAGUAAAUGUAGGUGCUGCUGCUGAAAUGUUGUUGGGAGACUGGACUUGUCCACAGUGUGUGUUUGUGAACUUUGCUCGCAAUAGCAAGUGCUUUUGCUGCCAGGAACCACAACCAAAGAGAGUUAAAUCCCGGAGAGUGGGAGUGCCCCUCAUGCUAUUACUCGAACUUCAGGAAAAACAAGGCGUUCAAGAAGUGCAACUGUGACCGCCCUGACGAUCGGAGCAAUUUGUUUGAUGACCAUUCAUGGAGAUCUGGAAAGGUCCACCAAGAACAACACUUUAAAGUUUGGAGAUACCGAUGAUAAUAAUGAUGAAAUUGAUGACAAUGAUGAUGACAUAUUGCCUCUAUCGAAAGGGCAACUCCGUCUGAGAGGAAGACUAACCCCUGCUAGAAACUGAAGUAUGGUUUGGCGCUUGGAAGUGUUUUUGACAUCCUUCUCAAGUCGAAUAGCUCUCCCCCAUAUUCCACUGUAAAUCUGGACACCGGAUGACGGCUUGGCAGAUGUAUUUCUAUUUGUAUAAACAAACUGUCAUGACAAUGAUGCAGAUAACUGUCUGAUCAAAGACGGUUGUAGGAAAAGCCUGAUCCAACUUUUUCAUAUAUAUGGGUCGGCAAAGAUGGUUUAUGCCUUUUGUUCCACGCAAUGAAACUGUGGUGAAGCUUCAAGAAUACAGGGCUCAAUCUGAUCAACCCUGUCCUGUAUCGGUUAAUGGCUGAGCGUUCAGGGGGAACACCUCAGGAAUUUUUCGUGGAGAAAGAAGGUGGAAUGCAUCCCUGAGUGCACAUAACACGUUCGACAAAACAGCGAAUUCCAUACGGGCCACACAAUUUGUCGUCGGAGCUCACCGAGGAGGAGGAUGAUGAAAAGUAUCAAGUAUUAUUAUUAUAGGAAGCAAUUCUGAUAACGCUGCUGGCAGAAGCUAUGCAGAAGCUCAUCAACUACUACUAACAAUCUGUUGAUUUAUUCAUUCGAUGACCAGGUUAUUCUCAUACUUCAUUCAUGUUGCUCUCCGUCCUUCAUGCAGAUUGUGAUCAAAUAGCGAUGCUACGCUGCGGUGACCGCGAUCUUCAUGCCGGACUGGCAGUGGCCGGCGAAGCUGCAGAUGAAGUAGUUGGUGCCUCGGGCCAGCGUGAUGCGGUCCUUCCCGGAAGUGUAGACCCUGGAGCCCUUGGGAGCCGAGCAGCUAUUGUAGCCGGCCGCGCUCACCGCCACCACGUUGUGAACCGACGGGUUAUAGUUGAACACUGCCGCAGAUCGGUCAGUACCAUUAGUAAUAAUGCAAAAAUAAGUAUGCACGCAGCAGGGCAGCCAUCACUUACCGAGCACAUCGCCGGCUCUGAAGCUCUUCCCCCUGGGCCAGCUGGCGACGUUGAAGGUCCAUCCGCUGUUGCCGCCGACGACGUAGGUGGCGGCCUCGGCCACCUCGCUGUGGAUGAGGAGACACAGCAGGGCCAGCCCCAGAGCCACGACACUGCCCCUUCCCUGAGCCAUCACAACGCCCCGCUCAGAAGCCAAGACCGACUCUUCCGAGCAAGUGCAGUGGAGGUGAAGAUCUCGUUUGUGAAGCUCCGAGGAGGGGGGGGGGGAGGCUUUUUAUAGGCGUCGGAGUGAGGGUGGUGGAGGAAUGGGCCCCGCCCGGGUUGGUCGAAGGCUGGCAACUAUCCAUUACAAGGCCAAAGAUUUGGACCGGGGAGGAGUCGUCGCUUGGAAAGCAGUCGACAGCAGACGAUGUCAAGAGUUUGGCAUAUUUCCAUGAAUGCUUCAAUUCUUGGGUGGGUCGGCGAUACUACGGAGGAGGGUAUCGUCUAUGGGGUCUUAUCACUUGGAAAACAACGUCCCCUCGCCGGGAAAUAUGGAAGCUAGCGGAUGAGAUACUUCUGGUGUCACGUGGCAUAAUCAUAGGCCAAUCCUGAACCUGGUCAUCGUGAUGCAGUUCCGCCGUACAAGACCACACGUGCGCUAACAAUAGCAUCGCCACCCUCAUUUUGCGUCGACAAAACACACGAGCAGAAAAGCAGAGUACAAAGUUUGCACGCCUACAAAGACUCGAUUCACAGUGUCUCAGAUAGUGGAAAGAAGAGCGAAAGGAAGAUUUCUGUUAUUUGGGCAUUGUCAUUGAAGCUCCUUCCUCGCACGUUCAGCCGUCCUACUCGAAAAGUCCUCUUCGGGUCCUCACGGAGAUGGCUUUCUUUCCUGCACAACUCAACCGCUGUGAGACUCUAAACUUAUCUUCAGGAGUUGAAAGGAAGGACCCAAGUAAGAUUCCGGAUGCUCGUCAGGUGAACCACCUCCUAAGGAUGCAUGGAGCCACCCCCCAUCUUCUUCGUUCGUAUCAUCUUCUUCCUCGCUCGAAUCUGAGCUCCAAGAAGAAUUGUCGACGCUGGCUGCUGCCUUGGGCUCCUCCACCUCCUCAAUUCUGCUUUGGCCACCGGAUUCAUUGUCGGGAUCAGAGCCUCUUCCUUGGGACUCCGAUCGGCAGAGCUCCACCGCGGCCCUUGCAGCUGCCGCAGCAAAGGCUGCUGCUUCGAAGGCAUCCUUCGCUGCACUGGCCACAUCUUCAUACUUCUGAGGCGUUCUCAUCGAAAGGUUCUCAUCAGAUUUGAGCUGCUCCUGUACGAGAUUUACUGGUGGAUCUCCCUGAAUCAUUGCAGAUUAGGCAUGGCAUGUAUGACUGCGAAGCACGAUGAAUUCGGAUGUAUUGGUAUACAUACGUACCCCUGCAUCCUCAGUACAAGGAUCAUAGUAAUCAAGAUUGAUGCCCGUCUCGGCAGCGAUCUCCUUCGUCACCCGCUGUCGGAUUUCCAGGCUUGGCUGCCUGGUCGACAGCUUCUGAAUCAUCUGCAGGAGAUGAUCGCUCUCAUUACAGAACAUGGAAGACGACAACACUGCUCUAAACCAAAGCAUUACUGUAUACCUUGGGAUUGACACGGCAAUUGUUCCUCAGCUCCACGGCCGCCGACACGAGUUCCUUGCCAUACCUGGAGGAGAAGAUGCCUCGGGCCUUAUCCAGCUCCGGCAAUUCUGCGCAUCUCGAUGCCGCAAAGCUCAGACUCGAGAUCGCCUCCCGCAGCUCCUCCGGGCACUCCCUGCAUCGAACUCGGCUCGGGGUAACAAGAACAGGAGCAGCUGCUGCACUAAAGUAAUUAAGGAGACCAGAGAUGAGAGCAGUCACUUGUGAUCCAAGAGCACAAAUCUCUCGAUCAGCAGUUGGCAAUAGUGCUCCGACAUAACGAACACGUCCACCAUGUUCUGCUCCUUGAUUACAUGCUCCACCUGCAACGGCGUCAGUGGUCGCUCGCACGCAUACAAGGAAGCAACCAGCACUGGUGCGGUGCCUUGGAGGAGUCGGUACGUACGCGGAGGAGGGCAUGGUCGACGUGGCCGAGCUGGAGUAGCUGGGCGACGUCGGUGCGCGCCUGGUUGCACCGGACCUGACGGCGGUUGCGGAGGACGGCCAGGCGGGAGACGGUGAGGCCCAGCAGGGUCUUCAGCUUCGACAUCUGCCUCGACUUCCUUCCUAGUAGAGCGUCCAGCUUCCUUCCCAUCUCUGCUUCCUUCCUCUCUCACCACAGUCGGAUCAAGCCUUCCUGUGUGCUACAAGUGCACAUAUAUGAAGCUGAGAUGAGCAAAGGGUGAUUGCUUGAAGACCAAGGAUGGAUUCGACGAUGAUGAUCGAGAAGGGUUUAGGUGAGGGGAUCAAAAGUGAUCCCUUUCAAUGGGUUGGCGAGGUAUGGAGUGUGUUGUCAUCUUGGACCCCAACUCCUGCUGCAAUCGCCCUGCGUUGCCUUGUGUAGCAGCCAACUUAGGAUACGUUUAAUUGGUUUAAGCUUUGAGUUUAUGCACUGAGUGCUGAUUCUUUUGGGGAAGGUUGUGUGUGUAUGGGAACAAAGAGAAAGAACUAAGGCUUUUGGAGAACGCAUUCCGCCGAGUGCAAAAGAA